GACGAACGCUGGCGGCGUGCUUAACACAUGCAAGUCGAGCGGAAAGGCCCUUUCGGGGGUACUCGAGCGGCGAACGGGUGAGUAACACGUGAGUAAUCUGCCCUGGACUUCGGGAUAGCUUCGGGAAACCGAGAUUAAUACCGGAUAUGACAUUGUCUCGCAUGGGAUGGUGUGGAAAGUUUUUUCGGUUCAGGAUGUGCUCGCGGCCUAUCAGCUUGAUGGUGGGGUAAUGGCCUACCAUGGCUUUGACGGGUAGCCGGCCUGAGAGGGUGACCGGUCACACUGGGACUGAGACACGGCCCAGACUCCUACGGGAGGCAGCAGUGGGGAAUAUUGGACAAUGGGCGGAAGCCUGAUCCAGCAACGCCGCGUGAGGGAUGACGGCCUUCGGGUUGUAAACCUCUUUCAGUACCGACGAAGCGCCGAUGAUGGUGGUGACGGUAGGUACAGAAGAAGCACCGGCCAACUACGUGCCAGCAGCCGCGGUA
rnacentral:rRNA from 1 species